AUUGAACGCUGGCGGCAGGCCUAACACAUGCAAGUCGAGCGAGCGGCGGACGGGUGAGUAAUGUAUGGGGAACUGCCUGAUGGAGGGGGAUAACUACUGGAAACGGUAGCUAAUACCGCAUACUAUCAGAUGUGCCCAUAUGGGAUUAGCUAGUAGGUGGGGUAAAGGCUCACCUAGGCGUCGAUCCCUAGCUGGUCUGAGAGGAUGACCAGCCACACUGGAACUGAGACACGGCCCAGACUCCUACGGGAGGCAGCAGUGGGGAAUAUUGCACAAUGGGCGCAAGCCUGAUGCAGCCAUGCCGCGUGUGUGAAGAAGGCCUUCGGGUUGUAAAGUACUUUCAGCGGGGAGGCGUUACUCGCAGAAGAAGCACCGGCUAACUCCGUGCCAGCAGCCGCGGUAAUUC
rnacentral:rRNA from 1 species